AGGCUGCAACUCGCCUGCACGAAGUUGGAAUUGCUAGUAAUCGUGGAUCAGCAUGCCACGGUGAAUACGUUCCCCGGGUCUUGUACACACCGCCCGUCACACCAUGGGAGCCGGUAAUACCCGAAGUCAGUAGUCUAACCGCAAGGAGGACGCUGCCGAAGGUAGGAUUGGCGACUGGGGUGAAGUCGUAACAAGGUAGC
rnacentral:rRNA from 1 species